CUCACAAAUACAUAUCUCUUUAAAAAUAUAAAUGAAUAAAUGUAGUAUUAGAAAUCCUGGGAAGUGACUGUCCCCUUGUCAGGAUCGUAUGGCUCUUACCUGGGUCCACCGGUGUUCUCCGUGAUGCUGCAAGCUCACACACUGCGGGUUCUUAUGGAUCAAUGAAUUCGGGACCAAAUGCCGAAUUUGCUGAAUUGAAUUCGGCUCAUUAU